GUCCCUGUAACGCAAUGGACAGCUUGUUGGACUUCUAAUCCUCAGUUCGUGGGUUCAAAUCCCACCUGAGAUG